GAGCCCCAACCCCAGGAGUCCCAGGUGUUCCCAUCCUGUGAUCAGCACAGAACACAGAAACCUCACCAUGGAGUUUGUGCUUGGCUGGGUUUUCCUGGUUGCUCAUUUAAAAGGUGUCCAGUGUGACGUGCAGCUGGUGGAGUCUGGGGGAGACCUGGUGAAGCCGGGGGGGUCCCUGAGACUCACCUGUGUGGCCUCUGGAUUCACCUUCAGUAAUUAUGCAAUGAACUGGGUCCGCCAGGCUCCAGGAAAGGGGCUGCAGUGGGUCGCAGCAAUUAGUGGUAGUGGAGGUAGCACAGCCUACACAGACUCCGUGAAGGGCCGAUACACCAUCUCCAGAGACAACGCCAAGAACACGCUGUAUCUGCAGAUGAACAGCCUCAAGACCGAGGACACGGCCACAUAUUACUGUGUGAAAGACACAGUAUUGGGAGUAGCGGCGAAUUGCCAUCGGGGCCCAGCAAGUUGUGGCAGAACCGCGGCCAGGUGGGGAGCACACGGAGAGGAACGCUGUUUCCGGAGAAGAGGAAGUUGGGAGGGUGGUUUUGAAGCGAGGUCCGCAGGAGGAAAGCAGGGCUGCAGGGCGAGCAGGCGCCUCCCGGGCCCGGCUGCAGGCGCGGUGGGUUUCCUGUAG